rnacentral:tRNA from 1 species
GCCUAGGUAGCUCAACGGUAGAGCAAUGGUUUUGUAAACCAUAGGUUGGGGGUUCAAAUCCUCUCCUAGGCUC